AUGGAAAAAAUCAAAUAUGCAUUGUCCAGUACACGAAGGCAGAGAAUCCUAGGCAUUUGUGGGAAUUUUCAUCUUGUGCAGGAAAGAGUUACUGGGGUAGGUUUCUGCAGCUGGAGGAUUAACCAAGUGAGCCAUGGUGCCGGCCCCCAUAUUGGACUUUUAAUAUACAUGAUUGUAAGGAUGUGUUUCUGAGGGAACCUAGACCAAGAUACAAGGCUCAAAGAACCAAGGUACCAAGCUAACAUCCCAAAGCUCAUUAGUGGUAGAGUUUUUGAGAUAUAAAGCAAUUAUUCUUUUCAGUUGGCAGAUAGAAAUAAACUAAUUUAAGUAACAAAAAAGUAUACA
rnacentral:lncRNA from 1 species